rnacentral:rRNA from 1 species
CCCUGGUAUUUAGCUUGAAAGUGAUUAUUAUUUAUUAAAAAAAUUUAAAAAUUUUGGCGGUUAGUUUUUAAUUAGGGGAGCUUGUUGGAUAGAGUUAGCUCGAUGUAUUUUAUUUUAUUAUGUUUAUUUAUCUCUGUUAAUAGGUUUGUAUCAAUUAGGUUUAAAAGAAACAAUUUCAAGUCAAGAUAUAGCAAAAUAAAAGGUAAAUUAGCUACAUUUAAGGAUUAUAGUGGAUAUUUAAGGGUGAAAAAAUUGAAAUUGAACUUAGUUGUAAUAUAUUUUAGAAAGGGUAUAUGAAUAGGGUUAAUUAAUGUA